ensembl:snRNA U6 U6 spliceosomal RNA
GUACUUGCUUCUGCAGCACAUAUAUUAAUAUUGGAAUGAUGCAGAGAUUAGCACACACCCUACUCAAGAAUGACACGCAAACUCCUGAAGAGUUCCAUAUUAAA